UCCCUCUCAGUAUCACACCUGGAGAGUUUCCAAUACUCUACCAGUCUUGGAUACGGGGGGAAGAGUCACGCAGAGGCCUACCCAUUCCAUUCUUAGCUUGGGCAGUGGCUAGAGAGUGGAAGGCAAUUUGCUACAAGU